AAAACAAUAGCGCUCAAUCCGAAUAGGAGCGGGGGAACCACGACAAGUACUUCAUGUACUAGGGGUGAAUUCUAGGCAUAGCGAGGCAUUUCAGCAGAAAUUAUCUUCGCCUUUUUCCAUGCCGCCAUUUUUGCAUGUUCAUACAAAAAUGAAGAAAGGGCGACUCUCACUAGCCCUAACCCGACAGCUAACCUCGUCAGCGUAAUGAGAGAAUCG
rnacentral:sRNA from 2 species